CCUACGGGAGGCAGCAGUAGGGAAUCUUCCACAAUGGACGAAAGUCUGAUGGAGCAACGCCGCGUGAGUGAAGCAGGGUUUCGGCUCGUAAAGCGCUGUUGGUAGUGAAGAAAGAUAGAGGUAGUAACUGGCCUUUAUUUGACGGUAAUUACUUAGAAAGUCACGGCUAACUACGUGCAAGCAGCCGCGGUAAUACGUAGGUGGCAAGAGUUGUCCGGAUUUAUUGGGCGUAAAGCGAGUGCAGGCGGUUCAAUAAGUCUGAUGUGAAAGCCUUCGGCUCAACCGGAGAAUUGCAUCAGAAACUGUUGGACUUGAGUGCAGAAGAGGAGAGUGGAACUCCAUGUGUAGCGGUGGAAUGCGUAGAUAUAUGGAAGAACACCAGUGGCGAAGGCGGCUCUCUGGUCUGCAACUGACGCUGAGGCUCGAAAGCACGGGUAGCGAACAGGAUUAGAUACCCUUGUAGUC
rnacentral:rRNA from 1 species